AUAUAUGUUUUUAUUUUGUUAGAUCAAUAAAAGUGUUCCGAUCUCAAAGACAAGCUCGAGUACCACGUACUAAAUCCAGCAACAUUACGUGGAUAAAAGUGCAGUGUCCUCUACAGCGCAACGGUAUCGAUUGCGGAUACUUUGUAAUGAGGUUUAUGAGGGAAAUCAUUAAUAUGAAUCAAAUAGAGAUUCCAAUCACGUACUUUGAUGAAUACAAGUGUGCUCAUUACACGAGACUGCAGUUGGAACAAAUCAAGGAGGAAUUGUGUCAAUAUUUUAUUGUGAAAAGAUUAAUUAGUAUAUAAUGGUUUCAAAAUAACAUGAAUACUUUGAUGAAGAAUGGUUUCUGGUUGGCAAGUGUAUAGUUCUUUAUAUUUUUAACAGAUUAGUUAUGACUCCAAAUAGGCCGUAUAACAUAUUAGUUUUGACUUGUGUAUAGUUCUUUAUAAUUUUAGUGAUAUCUUUAAUUUCAUGGAUAGAUUAAUGUGUUCAUUCUUGUGUUGGUUUGCUUUAAAAAAUUACAAAUGCUUGAAUUAUGACUCCAAAUGUGUUCAGUGCCUAUCUAUCCUUGUGUUGGUUUGCUUUCAUGGAUAGAUUAUGACUCCAAAUGCUUGAAUUAGAGAGGCUUGAUUUACAGGUUUAUGGGAUUAUUCCCAAAAAAUAUUACAGGUUGAAAUGGUAGGCUUAAACUGAAGGCAGCGUUUUGUUAUUUUACUAGAGGAAAAGACAGCGCUUUUUACUAAAAAGCGCUGCUAAAGGUUGUCAAUAGAGAGCG